AACCAGACGCCCAGUCACAGGCGAGAGCCCUGGGAUGCACCAGCCAGAGGCCAUGCUGCUGCUGCUCACGCUUGCCCUCCUGGGGGGCCCCACCUGGGCUGGGAGUAAGUCAGCGGGGUCUGCCCUCAAUCUCCCCUGCCUCCCUCCAGGAGAGCCAGGGACUCACCUGGCCCUUGUCCCAGACUAACUCUGGUCACAGAACCAUCCUGUCUGCCUGGAGGGGCGGGGUCCCCUGUUCUGGCAGAGUUCACCCCCAUAUCACCGUGUGGGGAUUUUCUUCCCUUUGGGUCUUUCUUUUCUUCAGAGAUGUAUGGCCCUGGAGGAGGCAAGUAUUUCAGCACCACUGAAGACUACGACCAUGAAAUCACAGGGCUGCGGGUGUCUGUAGGUCUUCUCCUGGUGAAAAGUGUCCAGGUGAAACUUGGAGACUCCUGGGACGUGAAACUGGGAGCCUUAGGUGGGAAUACCCAGGAAGUCACCCUGCAGCCAGGCGAAUACAUCACAAAAGUCUUUGUCGCCUUCCAAGCUUUCCUCCGGGGUAUGCUCAUGUACACCAGCAAGGACCGCUAUUUCUAUUUUGGGAAGCU
rnacentral:sRNA from 1 species